rnacentral:lncRNA from 1 species
CCGUCUUCGUGAUGCAUAUAUCACUACUCUCAAUGUGUGCCAGGCCUACACACUGAAACGGAUCCGUGAUCCAAACUACCAUGUGAAGGUGCGGCCGCAUAUCUCAAGGGAAAUUAUGGAAUCAGAAUCUGUCAAACCUGCCGAUGAGCUGGUGAAACUGAAUUUGUCAAGUGAGUAUGCCCCUGGUUUGGAGGAUACCCUCAUCUUGACCAUGAAAGGUAUUGCUGCUGGCUUGCAGAACACCGGUUAAACUGCAUGAUCAUGUGCUUUUAUUUUGUUUUCUUUACUC